rnacentral:misc_RNA from 1 species
GAUUUGGUGCUUUGGUCCUGAGACUACCGGCCCUAACAUGGUGGUUGAUAUGUGUAAGGGAGUUCAAUACCUAAAUGAAAUCAAGGAUUCCGUUGUCGCCGGUUUCCAGUGGGCGUCGAAAGAAGGUGCAUUGGCUGAAGAAAACAUGAGAGGCAUCUGUUUUGAAGUUUGUGAUGUGGUGCUUCACGCUGAUGCCAUCCACAGAGGAGGUGGUCAAGUCAUUCCGACCGCUAGGAGGGUAAUUUACGCUUCUCAGCUGACCGCCAAACCAAGACUUCUUGAGCCUGUGUACCUAGUGGAGAUUCAGGCUCCUGAGCAAGCUCUUGGUGGUAUCUACAGUGUUCUUAACCAGAAGCGUGGGCACGUCUUUGAGGAAAUGCAGAGGCCCGGUACCCCUCUUUACAACAUCAAGGCGUAUCUCCCUGUCAUUGAGUCUUUCGGGUUCUCGAGCACAUUGAGAGCUGCAACUUCCGGGCAGGCGUUCCCACAGUGUGUUUUCGACCAUUGGGACAUGAUGUCGUCGGAUCCAUUGGAACCUGGUUCCCAGGCUGCACAGUUAGUUGCAGAUAUCCGCAAGAGGAAGGGAUUGAAGGAACAAAUGACCCCACUUUCCGAGUUCGAGGACAAGCUGUAGAUCACUUGCGAGGUUAUUUAUUGAGAAGCAAUUACAAAAUUUGCAGAGGAGGUUCUAAUUGAGUUGUCUGGCUUGGCUUAUCGAAUGUUCUUUUUGCAUAUUUAUCUAGAAGACACUUAUUUUACUUUUAAUUUUCCUUUUUGAAUGUGAGUGGAGAUCGUUGUUUUCGCACAGCCUAAAACUUCACAAUGGAGACCACUAGUAUUGGUUUGCUU